AUUUAGCCAGUGAACCCCAAGCAAAGAGAACUUUAGUUUGAUAACCCGAAACUAGGUGAGCUACUCCAAGACAGCCUAUAAUAGGGCAAACCCGUCUCUGUGACAAAAGAGUGGGAAGAGCUUUGAGUAGAGGUGACAGACCUACCGAACCUAGUUAUAGCUGGUUGCCCGAGAAUUGAAUAGGAGUUCAGCCUCACGGGUUCUUUAUUCCCCAAUCUUACACGUUAUGAUUUUAUUAAGAAACCGCGAGAGUUAGUUAAAGGGGGUACAGCCCCUUUAAAACAAGACACAACUUUUCCAGGAGGGUAAAGAUCACAAUAUCUUAAGGAAAAAUGUCCUAGUAGGCUUAGAAGCAGCCAUCCACACAGAAAGCGUUAAAGCUCAGAUAUGUUUUUAACCCCAUAUCCCGAUCACCCACUCUUAUCCCCCUAACCUUACCGGGCCGCCCCAUGCAUGCAUGGGGGCGACCAUGCUAAUAUGAGUAAUAAGAGAAACCCCCUCUCUCCUAGCACACAUGUAUCUCGGAGCGGACUACCCACCGAACAUUAACGGCCCCAAAAACCACAGAGAGCACUGAACAAUAAACGAAAAACUAGAAAAACACCCAACAAAAACCGUUAACCCUACACAGGUGUGCCCUUCAGGAAAGACUAAAAGAAAGAGAAGGAACUCGGCAAACACAUAGCCUCGCCUGUUUACCAAAAACAUCGCCUCUUGUAAAAAGAAAAUAAGAGGUCCUGCCUGCCCUGUGACUAUAAGUUUAACGGCCGCGGUAUUUUAACCGUGCGAAGGUAGCGAAAUCACUUGUCCUUUAAAUGAGGACCAGUAUGAAUGGCAAGACGAGGGCUUGACUGUCUCCUCUUUCAAGUCAAUGAAAUUGAUCUCUCCGUGCAGAAGCGGGGAUAUAAACAUAAGACGAGAAGACCCUGUGGAGCUUUAGACAUAAGACAAGUCAUGUUAAGUACCCCUAGACAAAGGACUGAACUAAGUGAAACCUUGCUCUGGUGUCUUUGGUUGGGGCGACCACGGGGAAAGAAAAAACCCCCACGUGGAGUGAAAGCACUACUACUUUCACAACCGAGAGCUACCACUCUAAGCAACAGAAUAUCUGACCUUAAGAUCCGGCUACCCAUGCCGAUCAACGAACCUAGUUACCCCAGGGAUAACAGCGCAAUCCCCUUUUAGAGUCCAUAUCGACAAGGGGGUUUACGACCUCGAUGUUGGAUCAGGACAUCCUAAUGGUGCAGCCGCUAUAAGGUC
rnacentral:rRNA from 1 species